GUCCCGCUCCUCUACAAGCAGGAAGCCAGAGGUUUGAAGGGAGGGCCAGUGAGUCUGGAGAGGACUAGGUUGAGAUCCCACUGAGGAACUGGGUCCCAAACCAGUGGAAAAAGUCUUUCAAGGCCUUUCAUGAACCUGAUCAUCAUCUCGUGCGAGAAUACCAAUCUACUCCUGGACAUGAGGGUGGAAGGCUGAUAUGGCCUUGAUCAAUGAACAUGCAAGGCCCUCGUGAAACAGGUAAUCUAAGCUUUAAGUGAAGAAGGUAAUCUAGGAUGGAUGGUAGAGACGACUGGAUCAGAGAGAUAUUCCGCUCCAAUGCCCAUCAGGAGAAGCGCUUCCACUUUGCCAGGUAUGUUGCCCUGGUAGAGGGCUUUCUGCUCUCCCAGAGGACCUGCUGCAACUGACUAGAGCAGGCUUGUUCCUCAGGGUUCAGACACUCAGCAACCACACUGUGAGGUAGAGAGAGGUGAGGUUCGGGUAUAGUAAUCGUCCGUGAUUCUGAGAGAGCAGGUCCAGGUGGCUGGGACGUGUCCACAGGGCUGCCACUGCUAAGUCCAUGAGCAUGCUGAAUCAAUGCUGGCGAGGUCAAACUGGGGCGAUCAUAAUGACUUGUCCCUCUUGAUCUUCAAGAGGACCUUGCCGAUCAGAGGGACUAGUGGGAAGGCAUACAUCAGGUCGCCUGACCACGACAGGAGGGAGGCAUUGGAUAGUGAGUCAUUGUCAAGGCCUUGCAGAGAGCAGAACUGGUGACAUUUUCUGUUUGGUGACCAACAAGUCCACUAGGGGAGUUCCCCACUUCUUGAAGAGCAUCCUGACUACCUCUGAGUGGAGGGACCACUCAUGGUGAGAAAAAAAGGAUCUGCUGAGGCGAUCCGCCAGCAUGUUCCUGAUGCCGGGGAGGUGUGAGGUUUCCAGGUGGAUAGCAUGUUGGAUACAGAAGUCACACAGCUGAUGGGCUUCCUGACAAAGGGCCAAUGAUUGAGCUCCUCCCUGUCUGCUGACAUAGAACUUGGAGGCUGUGUUGUCUGUCAACACCUGCACCACACAACUGGACAGAUGGGGAAGGAACACUUUGCAAGCCAGGCGGAUAGCCCUGAGCUCUCUGACGUUUAUGUGCAGUAACAGUUCCUCUUGAGACCAUAGCCCCUGAGUUUAAAAUUAGAGACACUGUGGGCCACAGAUUCACAAACAGCACACCUUCCAACACCAGAUUCAUGUUGGACCACCACUGCAGGGAGGUGAGUACCCGUGGCGGGAUCAUGAGAAGUUUGUCCAGGUGAUGUCUGGCCGGAGAGUAGACCGAUGCCAGCUACAUCUGGAGAGGUCGGAGGUGAAGUCUCACGUACUGGACAAUGUAAGUGUAUGCAAACACGUGCCCUAAUAGCCUAAGACAGUCUCGGGCUGUGGUGAGUGGGCAGUGACCUGGGUUAUCAGAUCUGACAUAGCCCUGAACCUUGCCUCUGGCAGGAACGCUCUGGCUCAGCUAGAGUCGAGUACUGCUCCGAUAAAUUCUGUCCUCUGCACCAGUACCAAUGUUGAUUUGUUUGUUUAUCAACAGGCCCAGUGCUUGACAGCUGGCUCGCAGCAUUGUGACAUGGCAUUGGACAUAGUCCCUGGAGCGAACCUUCAUGAGCCAGUUGUCAAGGAACGGGUAGAUCUAGAUACCCCUACGUCUGAGGAAAACUGAAAAACACAGAAAUUCUAUCAAAUGGAAACAUCAUGACCUUCAUUGAUCAUCGGCAGGAUUUGAACCUCCUAAGCUCCUCUACUGCUUGAACUAAAGGAGUAACAAGCUGCAGUACCAGGCCGCUAUCCUCUGUAUGCACAAACCAUUAGAGAGAGAGACCGCAGUGACUCGCACAAUUAUUUGCUAAACAGCAGAGGACUGUUGGGAUUCAGUCAGAAUUCCUAGCUUCUAUUUCAGACUGGAAAUAAGGCUUUAGCCCUGAAGCACUGACAGAGAAAAGAAAAAGAAGCAGAGGGUUCCACGCUUACCAAGCAACAAGGUGAAAGACUGGAGAAAAAGAGGAGGUGCUGGCUCUGACAUACCUUCCUGAGUGAGCAUCUCUGCUACCUCAUCACAUAAUUCAUAGUCUAAAAUAUGCCACAUAGAACAUAGGCCCUUCAUCAUAGCCACAUAAUACUAAGUCAUUAGAGUAUUCCUGAUUGAUUCCCGUCUUUCCACAUGGCAAAAAUCUAUUAGUGCUUUCUGCACAUUUGCGGCUGCCUCUAUUCAGCUAGCCAAAAAUAUUUGGAAAGGACAGAUCUGUUAGGACAGACUCUGUGAAGGGGAAAACACAGUCUGAAUAAGCCAACCUUCAAUCUGGACACAAUCCAGAACAUACACAUCCACUGCCUGCUGGAGAUCUAGAAAGGCUUAAAGUGACUUUAUGUCAAUUGAAUACACCCCUGUAAAUGACCAAUAAAGAUAUUAAUGGAUAAAAUAAAACUUAUUCUUUGGGAAUACUUGGUAGGCAGCCGCUAGAGCAGACUGUAAUCAUACAUUCGUGAGGUGCAUCUCUGUAGAUAUCCAGGAAUAAUGGUUUGCACAAGCAUUUGAGUGACUAAGAAAACAAAUAUCAUAGCUUGAAUUUUAAGAAGGGCUGGGUAACAUGACAAAUAUUAACAUUCAUAACCAUGCAAGUCAAGACAACUCUACUGCAUUUUUCAAGGAGAAAGAAAAGUUUCCUUCCCAUCCUAUUGAACUGGAAGGAACCUUGAAAGGUCAUUGAGUCCAGCUCCCUGCCUUCACUAGCAGGACCAAGUACUGAUCCCUAAGUGGCCCCAUCAAGGAUUGAACCCUGCGUUUAGCAGGCCAAUGCUCAAACCACUAAGCUAUCCCUAUCCCUCUCCCCCAUGAAGUAUUGGUUAUUUCAGUCAGAAGUGGCACCAAUCGCUAAUAACUCUCUUUCUCAAGCCAGGAAGGGCCUGGGUCGGAUUCCCAAGUCUUGAGUCAAGACUCCUUUAGGGUGCAUAGAGAGUAUGUCCAACCUCAAGUGUUCAAAAAUUGUGAAUCAGGCCCCCAAAUCAUGAGACUGUCUUAAAUAUUAGUUUUAAUAAUAAAUGUUGGGUUUUUUGCUUGCCUGCUGGUUUCUGAGCCUGUAGGGUACACCUGCUUCAUGUUUUCACACUUUUCUCUGCAACCAUGAGAGCUAGAAACUAACUUUUUUUUUCCAAAUGAAAGUUGUGAUUCUCUUUUGGUGUCUUGACUCUACCAGCUGGGUCUUCAAGAAAAACACCAUUUCAAGACCUGUGGUAAAAUCCCAGGAGCUGGCAACAAUGUGUAGAGUACAUUUUUCCCCCAAUGCUUUCUAGGGA